rnacentral:rRNA from 1 species
UACGUAGGGGGCAAGCGUUGUCCGGAAUCAUUGGGCGUAAAGAGCGUGUAGGCGGCCCGGUAAGUCCGCUGUGAAAGUCCAGGGCUCAACCCUGGGAUGCCCGGUGGAUACUGUCGGGCUCGAGUCCGGAAGAGGAGUGUGGAAUUCCUGGUGUAGCGGUGAAAUGCGCAGAUAUCAGGAGGAACACCAAUGGCGAAGGCAGCACUCUGGGACGUGACUGACGCUGAGACGCGAAAGCGUGGGGAGCAAAUAGG